ACUCAUCCUGACUUUCGCCUUGCCACUGGACUUUGAUGACUCAGGAAGAGAGACUGAGGCUGAUGACUAUGCAGCUCUGCCUCACAUAAGUCCAAUUCAGGCUCAGGUCAAAACAUGACCCUUAGUGUCAUUGAUCCUUCUCAAAAAUGAAGGACAAACAACAUUACUGUCAAGGGAAGCAUUCUGUGGUAGAUGGAGAAUAAAGGCAGAUAACGGCCAAGUACAAAUGAAAGAAGAAAUUUAAGUCAGAUGAACUAUGUCAUCCCUGUCAACCACUCUGCUGCUGACUUGUCCCAAAGUUGUUGCCAGUGAGUCUACAAGAGAUAAGUUUAUAUCCUGAGGGGGAGAGAGGACACAGGAUGUGCCAGGUGCAUCCAACCGUCUCCAUUACCUCAACCACUUCCCUUCAGAUGGUGGAGGAGACAGCCCAAAAGCCAGAAUCCAAGAGACCCAAGUGCCUCACAGACUAGCAUAGUGCUCGGCAGACUACCAGUCCUGCUUCCAGCCCAGCCCCACAGUCAUCAUCAAGGGGAGUAGCCCUUUGGAGAAAGAUUCCUGCCAUUGCUACCAACAACCACAACCAACUUACAUUGGUCAAGUAAGUUUCAGAGCCAACAGAACAGCAGUACGCCCCACCCCACCCCAGCAGACCAGAGCCUUACGGCAAUCAGACAAGGAAACACACUUGUGGAGACAGAACUUGUCAGCUUUCUCUGCAGGAGCUGCAGCCCCAACCUCUUCAAUGGCCACAGAUGCUGAAAAUCCACGAAAGAAAGUUCUCACCACUAAAGUCCUUGUCUCUGUCAAAUCACUCAACAUCAGAAAAAGAUAAGAUUUUGCCAAUAAAAAUUACAUUU